AAUCCCCCACUUUACUGAAGCCCUGCGUGCCACGCGGGGUACUUUGUAGGCAAAGUGGGGGAUU
rnacentral:sRNA from 12 species